rnacentral:rRNA from 1 species
ACCCGCUGAAUUUAAGCAUAUCAAUAAGCGGAGGAAAAGCAACUAACCAGGAUUCCCCCAGUAACGGCGAGCGAAGCGGGAACUGCUCGAGCAGCCAAUCUCUGGCGUGCAUCGUCAGCGAAUUGUGGCCGGAAGAGGCGGCCGCACCCGAGGCACCUCCGCCGGAGUUGACCUGGAAAGGCACGUCGGAGAGGGUGAUAGCCCCGUGCGGGGCGGAGGUGGCGAGGGUCGUCAACCGUCUUCGGAGAGUCGGGUUGUUUGGGACUGCAGCCCAAAGUGGGUGGUAAACUCCAUCUAAAGCCGAACAGCGGCACGAGACCGAUAGCGAACAAGUACCGUGAGGGAAAGGUGAAAAGCACUUUGGAAAGAGAGUUAAAGAGCCCGCGAAACCGUUAGGAGGGAAACGAAU